GACGAACGCUGGCGGCGUGCUUAACACAUGCAAGUCGAGCGAUGAACCUUUCAUGAAUUUUUCGGAAUGAUUGGAAGAGGAUUAGCGGCGGACGGGUGAGUAACGCGUGAGCAACCUGCCUUAAACAACGGGAUAGCCUCGGGAAACCGGGAUUAAUACCGUAUGAGACCCCGCCUUCACAUGUAGAAGAGGUUAAAGAUUUAUCGGUUUAAGAUGGGCUCGCGUCUGAUUAGCUAGUUGGUGAGAUAAAAGCCCACCAAGGCAACGAUCAGUAACCGGCUUGAGAGAGUGAACGGUCACAUUGGAACUGAGACACGGUCCAAACUCCUACGGGAGGCAGCAGUGGGGAAUAUAGCACAAUGGGGGAAACCCUGAUGCAGCGACGCCGCGUGAGCGAUGAAGGAAUUCGUUUCGUAAGGCUCUGUCCAAGGGGAAGAUAAUGACAGUACCCUUGGAGGAAGCCCCGGCUAAAUACGUGCCAGCCGCCGCCGUAACAC
rnacentral:rRNA from 1 species